CCCCUUUCGGUCCGCGCGCGAACCGCCUAUAUUCGUCGUCGCCGGGGCGACCCGGCUAUGGCGAUAAACGUUUGCCGCAAUAAACCCUUCGGACCCGGGGGCAGCACCCGGCGCCUCCACCGAAGCCCGUCCGAGCGGCGGGUUUCGGCGGGGGCGAAACAGGAUCGACGGGGGCGUAAAGGGCGUGCUUUCGCUCGGCAUGGUUCCGCCGUCAUCGGGCCUUUUUAUAGUUGCCAACGACAACUAUGCUCCGGUUGCUCAGGCCGCGUGAGCGGUUUGAAAGACCAAAUUAAAGUCCUAGAGGGUUAGCUCUUUUAGGCGGGGUUCGGAGGUACCUGGCAACAGAAACCUCCACU
rnacentral:tmRNA from 1 species